rnacentral:sRNA from 1 species
AUGAGCAUGAUGAUGAAGAAGGAGGGUUCCUUGUUGAGAAUAAUAAUAGCUGUUACUUUAACCCUUCUCCUUUGUUUCCUCACUGCCGACUCUGAGGUUCGUUGCAUUGAAAGCGAGCGACACGCCCUUCUCAACUUCAAGCAACACCGUACAGAUCCUUCUAACCGCCUUGCCUCUUGGGCUGCUGCUGCAUCUGACGUGAAUUGUUGUGACUGGGUCGGUGUUGUCUGCCACAACCGCGCCGGUCAUGUCCUCCAACUCCAUCUUAGAACCUUUUAUCCUCUGUAUGACCACGAGCUUACUACUGAAGACCAAUGGGAAGCUCAAUUGCAAACUUAUGAGAGGUCAAGGUUCGGUGGUAAGGUAAAUCCUUCUCUGCUUGAUUUGAAGCAUUUGAUUUACUUAGACCUCAGUGGCAAUUAUUUCAAUUAUACUCCAAUUCCCAAAUUCCUCGGUUCAAUGGGGAGCUUAAGAUAUCUUAAUCUCUCAUAUGCGAGUUUUGAGGAUUGAUUCCUCAUCAACUUGGGAAUCUCUCUAAUUUGCACUAUCUCGAUCUUGGAGGUUAUAAUAAUUUGUAUGCCAUGAACCUUCAAUGGCUCUCUGGUCUUCCUUUACUACAACACCUUGAUUUGAGUUAUGCAAGCCUUAGCAAAGCCUCUAAUUGGCUACAGGAGAUAAACAAACUCCCUUCCUUGUCAGAGUUGCGAUUGUCAGAUUGUGCACUUUCUAGUUUCAUCCCACCACCGAUACCCAGUAGUAUUAACUUUUCAUCUCUCACCACCCUUCAUAUUUCGGAAAACCUUUUUGAAAACACUUCCAUUCUGUUUUGGGUCUUUGGUCUUCAUAAUCUGGUUUCUCUUGAUCUAUCUACCAAUUGGUUUCCAGGUCCAAUCCCUGUUCAUCUCUAGAAUUUGACUUCACUUAGGCACCUCGGUCUAUCUAACAACUAUUUCAACUCUUCAAUCCCCAAUUGGCUGUACAGUUUUAGUCAUCUUGAGUUCCUCAACCUCGGGGGUAAUAGUUUGCAGGGUAGAAUCUCUAGUGCCAUUGGCAACCUAACAUCUGCCAUUAGCAUAGACUUGUCAUUCAAUGGACUUGAAGGAAAGGUACCAAGAUCUUUGGGUAAUCUCUGCAACUUAAGGGUAGUUAGAUUGUCAGGCAACAAAUGGAGUCAAGAGAUAUCUGAAAUCUUUGAAUGUCUAUCAGGAUGUGUUUCAAAUGGACUAGAGAUCUUAGACUCGUUUUAUGCUCAACUGUCUGGGCAUUUGACUGAUGAACUUGGGCAAUUUAAAAAUCUGGUCAUCCUUUCUUUGGGGCAUAAUUCAAUUUUAGGUCCAAUUCCAUGGUCUAUAGGAAAUCUUUCCUCUUUGAGAUCCUUGGACCUUCAGAGUAAUCAAAUUAACGGUACUCUCCCUCAAAGUUUUGGACUGCUCUCCAAAUUAGAGUCUCUGAAUAUUGAUUUAAAUAUGUUGGAGGGUGUGGUGUCAGAAGUUCAUUUUGCCAAUUUAACAAGAUUAACUUUGCUUUAUGCAUCUAAAAAUCGAUUGACUUUGAAAGUAAGUCUCGAUUGGAUCCCUCCUUUUCAACUCAACUUUUUAGCUUUGGGAUCAUGGAAUUUAGGGCCCAAAUUUCCUUCAUGGCUCUGUUCACAAAAGAAACUUUUUAGCUUGGACAUAUCCAACACAGGGAUUGUAGAUGCAGUUCCUCCUUGGUUUUGGAACUUGUCUCUUCAGUUUUCUUAUAUAAAUAUCUCUCACAAUCAAAUCUAUGGAGAGAUUCCACAUAUCCCUUUGAUUUUCUCCCUUUCAACAAUUGAUAUGAAUUCAAAUCACUUUCAAGGUCCAUUACCUUGUAUAUCCUCAAAUGUGAGCUUCCUUAAUCUUUCUAACAAUUCACUAUCCGGAUCUAUUUCUCACUUUUUGUGUUACAAGAUGAAUGAGCCCAAACAUAUGGAAUUUCUCAAUCUUGGAAAAAAUCUUUUAUCAGGGAAAAUAAGUAAUUGUUGGAUGAAGUGGCAAAGGUUGGUUGCCUUAAAUUUGGGAAGCAACAAUUUCUCUGGUACUAUUCCAGCAUCCAUUGGAUCUCUUAUCAAUCUUAAGUCUUUGCACCUAUACAACAACAGUUUCUCUGGAAAAUUUCCAUCCAUGUUGAAAAAUUGUAAAUACUUGAUUACUAUUGAUAUUGGCAAAAAUGGGCUUGUUGGAAGCAUACCUUUGUGGAUUGGACAUAGACUUUCAAGCUUGAUGAUUCUUAGCCUUCGCUUCAAUAAUUUCUAUGGUCAAAUACCAGAAGAACUUUGUGCUCUAACUUCACUCCAAAUCCUAGACCUUUCACAUAAUAAGCUGUUUGGAAGCAUACCUAGAUGUGUUAACAAUUUCAAUAUGAUGGCCAGAAAUAACAAUUCAAAUUAUCCCCUCUUUUUGCUUAAUUCGUGGUUUGAGUCUAGUUCUAACCCUUUUGAAAGUGCAUGGCUUGUGAUUAAGGGAAUAUCUCGUGAAUAUUCCACCACACUUCAACUGGUAAAUUUUAUAGAUCUUUCCAACAACAAUUUGUCAGGAGAGAUUCCUAAAGAAGUGGCUAGUCUCCAAGGACUACUAUCAUUGAAUUUGUCAUUUAAUGUCUUGACUGGAAGGAUCCCGGAGAAUAUAGGUGCUAUGAGAUCAAUAGAAUCUAUUGAUUUCUCAGUAAACCAACUUUCAGGUCAAAUUCCUCAAAGUAUGUCAAGUUUGACAUUUUUGAGCCUCUUGAACUUGUCGAACAACAAUUUGAUUGGGAGAAUCCCUUCAAGCACUCAGCUACAGAGCCUCAGCGCAUCCAGUUUUUUUGGAAACAAGCUUUGUGGACCUCCACUUACUGAUAAUUGUACUAUAAAUUAUGUAAAACCAAACAUUGAAAACAAAAGGAGCAAGGGUUUUGGUGGGCAUAUGGUGGAUUGGUUUUUUGUAAGUAUGGCACUUGGAUUUGUGGUUGGGUUUUGGGUUGUAUUGGGUCCUUUACUAUGGAACAAGCAAUGGAGAAUUUUGUAUUUUCAAUUCCUAGAUCACCUAGGGUACAAGCUUAGUGGUGUAGUGACACAAACCUGGUAUUGCAUUGUAAUUAAAUGUUGUAAGAUUCUUAAUAUUUAGUCCAAGUAUCAUGUAAUUGUAUUAAUCAAUAUUUUGAUGAUUUGUAUAUGAUCUUCGACCUGGUUAAUACUUCUAUAAUCAUCUAUAUUUACUCUAUUAACAUGUAUGAAUAGGAUAUUUCUUAUGAAUGUACACAACAGUCCAAUUUUAGUUUUAUUAUUCCUAUAGAUUAGUGGUGUAAAAUCACAUUUCAGUUCAUACAAGCAAUUAAUUUGCUAGAAGUAAUAUCCAAUACCUUGCUAUGAUGCCCACUUUCUCUAUAGAAUAUCUUAGUGAUCACUUUGUAAAGUCUCAAAGAAAGACAACAAGUUUGUGCUUAUUUGGGCAAAAUACGCAAGCUCUUUGUAUCAAAUUCAAAGGCUAUUUUGGUAGAUUCCUUGCAACCACUAUAAUGAAGCUUAAGCAGUUAAACUAUAAAAGAGCCAGUCUGCCAAGUCUACUUUGUCCCGUGGAAGAAUUGAAGGGGCUGUGAGUCAGGCUCCAUGGCACGGCUCUCAUGUCUUGCCAAACAACCUAUAAUCUAUCUCAAUUCUAAAUUCUAAAAAUUGACUUGAUAAAAAGAACAUGUUAUUGGUUGUUAAUUUUGAAUUUUGUGUCUCUACAUAGGUGGGUAGAUACAGAUAUGUGGCUUAUUUGUGAUUUUUGAAAUGAAAUUUUGCUGAAUUGGUGAUUUACCCAAUUGGGGUACGUUAAAGUUGUGGGGCAAAUUUAAUUCUCUGUGGUGUUUUGUUGGGAAUCUAAUAUUGUUUGCAAUGAUUUAACAAUGAUUUCGUUUCAAAUCUAUUUGGCAUGGUAGAAGAUAGUCAACUAAAAAAAGAAAAAAUUGCAAUUAAAGGUAGCACACUCUCUCUCUCUCUCUCUCUCUCUCUCUUAGCAUUAGGGUCAAUAACAUGUGUACUUUUAUAUACAUGAAACUCACAGUGGCAAUUAGCUCCACAUAGACAAAAUAAAAGUGGAGAUUAGCACCCUAGAAUUAUUUAUUUAUUUAUUUUUGUGGAGGAAAUAGCACCCUAGAAGUUGAAUAAGUGUUUUGAAUUUUUUUUUUUUUUUUUUCUUGGUAAAUAGCGGGAAGAGGAUUGGUGGGAUUCAAACCCUAGUGUCAAGCACAACAAGAGGGGUUUUUGUUGUGUGAGAUUUUCUUUAAAUUAAUUUGCACGUGUCUCAUCAUUUACUGAUUUAAGCUAUAGUUUUGUUUGGGUUGCUCUUGAUACUUUUAGGUGUGAUUUUAUCAUUUAUUGAAGAUAUGUAUAUGAUGCUGAGACACAAACAGUGAAAACGAUGCUGGGAUUGCAUUUGAAUUUGGUUGAGUGAUUUUGGAAAGUCUUUUCUUAAAACUUUUCUUGCAUAUAAAUUUUAGACCCCUUUUGUAGAAAUUUUAGAAAGUCUUGUUUUUGUGACAUACUGCGUAACCCAAAAGCAAAAAGAAAUGGGUUUUGAAAAUUGAGCCCAAUAAUGUUAUAUUAAUUUUUUCUUCAUUUCUUGUCAUAUGGACCUUCCACUCGUGUGUAUGUGCAACAAUUUUUUUGGUUCUUAAAAUUUUGAUUAGUGUCUUCUUUCUUCUUCUUUUUGGUAAGAUGUUUCUCUAAACAUGUAGGAUUUGGUUGGACAACUAUCAUUUGACCCACCCUUUUGUUCUAAUACUUGUGCAGCAUGAUUAAUUCUUCACUCAACACAAUUUGAGUAUGAGAUGCAUUGUAUUUUCUGUAUCUAAAAGUGUAAUUGUUAAUUAUAUUUCACCACCAGAGGUUGCUUUCCUAAGAAGAAUUACAGCGCUAUUUAAUCUAAAUAUGACAAAACUGGUCUUUUUGUUUCUUGGACAAGAUGAGAUUGAGCCUUCAACCAAUCAGACUUAUGGUCCCUGUUAAAGAAUCUUACAUUUGUCAAGACAUUUGCCUGUGGAUGAAACUGAUUAUUUACAAGCUCGUGAAGAAGAGCUAGAAGUUUUUGCAUCAAUUUUGCGAAUGGUGUUCCACUGAGCUUCAGUUACAGGUAUGAUCCAGUAACUCCGUUCUUGAAUUACAUUGACAAUGGCAACUUCUCUGUUGAUGAUGUGCUGGCUAAUGUCCCACUUAUACUCCAUCAGAGGCUAUAGGUUAAUUUUUGUCUUUUUCCCCCCCUGUUCAGAAAGGUGUUCACCUAAAAUCAUCCAUACCUAAAAACUUUAUUGUUUUGGUUCAUUUUAAAUUUCAACCUAUUUUGAUUUCUGUACAUUCUCUUAAAAAAUUAAAUUGCUCUGCCUACCUGAAUCCUCUGACAGAUGAUUUGAAUUUCUAACAAUCAAAUCAAUAAAGCUUCUAAUUGCGAUUUCCUUGGAUUUGGCUACCAGGACUCGUUGAUAAAUUUCUCCUUUGCCCAUUUCUUGACCUUGUAGCACAUUCAAUGUGAACUGUUUUACUAUUCGUCAGUGGAUUCAUGUGGAUACUGGAUAUCAGUUUGCAUUUCUAGAUAAUCUUAACAACUUACCUGCAUUUUCUUAACUGGUGCUAUUUCUAAAUUCGUAUAAUCACGUUCAUGAUUCAUCCUACCCUUCAUGUGAAGUUAAUUGUUUAAUAAAUUUAAAUAGAAAAAAAUUACUAAGCCUCGAACUCAUUGCUUUUUGGAGACUUUUCAAUUUCAUUCUCAGUCCUGGGACUAUCUUUAAUGCAGAGCUCCUUGAUCUGGUUACUACAGAAAUGAAAAUGGAUUUUGUUCAAUUAUUAGUACUUGCAUAUGAUUUUUGUAUAUCACAUUAUCUCAUGCCACAAUUGCAUUUUAGGAACUGAAGGAUUAAAAUAUCAUUUCUUAUAGUUGCAUUUCAUUUAACAGUAAUAGCUUGAUAAUUCUGACAUAAUUAGUUAGUUUUCUCUAUGAUAGAUUAUUGCCUGUUCAUUUCAAUAAUAUUUUCUUCAAGAUGCUGAUUGCUCCUCACAUUGCAGAUUGCUUUGCUCAUCCAGGCCAAAAUGCUUCAGCACAAGGUAUAUCAUUAUUGCAUAUUGCUUCUAGUCAAAGCUGAUUCUUUUCUCCUCAUAACUGAUCAAUAAGGUUGUCUAACUGUAUGUUUUCAUAAUUUUUUUUUUUUUUUAAGAAUAUUAUUGUUGACCUUUUUCCUUCACCUCCCUCAAUCCCCAGCGAAUCCUUUGGUUAUCUCUAAGUAUGGAGCAAGCAAAGAUUACCAUGGUUGUAUGGAUUUAGCAUAUAGGAAAGCUAUUGAUGAUUGUGUAGAUAUACUUGAUUGUCUUGUUUGAUUGGCAAAGUAUAGGACUUCGUCUUGCUUUACUAUUAAUUUUUUCUUAGCAUACCCAUGCUGAUAGAAUUUGGUUGAAUGGUAAUUAUAUUGGUCAAAUUUGGUCUAGGGUCUCUGGUGUGCAGAACCAUCUUCAGCUCUUUGCACAGGACAUUGCAGAGGUCAAGGAAUUCUUGAAGCAGAAAGGAGCUGACAUUGGCUGUUAA